GACGUAGGGGGCGAGCGUUAUUCGGAUUUAUUGGGCGUAAAGCGCUCGUAGGCGGGGUCGUUAGUCCGUGGAGAAAGACCUGGGCUUAACUCAGGGAACGGCACGGAUACUUCGAUUCUUGAGGCAAUCAGAGGGUGAUGGAAUUCCCGGUGUAGCGGUGAAAUGCGUAGAUAUCAGGAGGAACACCGGUGGCGAAGGCGGGUCUCUGGGCAGUAACUGACGCUGAGGAGCGAAAGCGUGGGGAGCGAACAGG
rnacentral:rRNA from 1 species